ensembl:lncRNA
GUCAGCCACCUCCUGUACAUGGAUGACAUCAAGCUGUAUGCCAAGAGUGAACGAGACAUCGAUUCACUGAUCCACACUACCAGGAUAUAAGGCAACGACAUCGGGAUGUCAUUUGGACUGGAGAAGUGUAGUCGAAUAAUAACAAAGAGAGGGAAGGUAGUCAGAACUGAGGGGAUCGAACUACCAGAAAGCAACAUUGCAGACAUAGAGGCCAGUUACAAGUACCUGGUGAUCCCACAGGCAAAUGGGAACCAUGAAGAGGCCGCUAGGAAAGCUGCAACCACCAAGUACCUGCAGAGGGCCAGGCAAAUCCUGAGGAGUUAGCUGAACGGUAAGAACAAGAUUUACUAGUCCCUAAGGACCCCAAAGCGCUUUACACAUUCAGUCAUCCACCCAUUCACACACACAUUCACACACUGGUGAUGGCAAGCUACAUUGUAGCCACAGCCACCCUGGGGCGCGAGCUUGAAGGAUAACACCGCCCGCAGGGGCGAGCUGGGUGUUUUUUUUGUUUUUUUUUAAUAUAGAUAGAUACAUUUCCCAGAUGCUCCAAAGCUUCCCUCUGUGUCAGUGAGUCCCUCUGCUGAGAUAGUGGAGGGCAGUUCAGUGACUCUGACCUGUAGCAGUGACGCUAACCCAGCAGCUACAUACACCUGGUACAAGAAUCAAACACAACUUAGUAAAGAACCACAGCUCUCCUUCAGCACCAUCCAGCCCUCUGACUCUGAAGAGUACCACUGUACAACUGAGAACAAGCUGGGAACAUCAACACCUGAAUACAUCUCUCUUGAUGUGAAAUGUGAGUGUAACUAAAUGUAUACAGUUUUGUUUUAUACCCUUACAAAUACAUCUAUCUUUUGUAAUGUUUUCCCCACUUUCCCUCCCUUUAGAGAUUUAUGUAUUACUGUCAAGAAUACUACAUCAAUUAUCCCAAAAGUUGGGACAUGUUUUUAAAAAGGAGUUUAUAUUCAUAUUGUCUGUUGAAACCCUAAGCAAAAAU